GUCCCUGUAGGGCAUUGGAUAGCGUAUUGGACUUCGAAUCCAAAGGUCGUGGGUUCAAAUCCCACCUGGGCUA